rnacentral:lncRNA from 1 species
GUUUUCCGAAAGUAGAUAGUAGACAUAAAAUAAAAAAUGCGUGAUUUAGGUGAUCUACCAAAAAACUAUGAGUAUAACGCAAUAAUUGAGGAAGGUAUUCAAUGUAUUAUGACCAAAUUUAGGUCAAAAGAAGAUGUCGAAAAAUGGAUGGCUGAUCUACAAACUGUGACAAAAGAAACAUGGACUAUUGAGAAAACUUUUAAGGUACCUACUAAUGGUCCUCGAAAUAUAUUUAAAAAAAUAUAUAGAUGUCAUUUUAACACAUCAAUAAAAAGACCUGCAACCAACUCAGAACUUGAAACUCAAAAUAAUAAACGUAAACGAAAGUCAAAGAAUUCAGAUUGUAAAGCAAAAAUAAAUAUCGUUAUAAAGAAAAUAUUUGAGGAAUCUAAGUCAAAGAAAAAAAAUCCGUUUACAGUAGAAUGGCCUUGCAUGAUAAAAUUUCAAGAUGUGCAUAAUCACCUAACAAAUACUGUGUCAGCUUUAAGGGAAUGACCACUAGGCGAUGAAGCCAGGAAUCAUUUACUAGAACUUUUUAAUCGAAGACACUCUGCGGCUUCAGCCUAUCACACUUUUUGCGCGGAAAAAAUGGAAGAAUAUGGAGAUAAGUAUGAGGACAUUUUAUACGAUAGGUUCUUUAUGCCAACUAAAAAUGACGUCACAAAUUUGUGGAAGAAGAAAUUUAAGGAAGACUUCGGUGACAGAACUGGACGUCCCAUGUUAGAAAAAUUAGAAGAAACUUUAGCGAAAUAUAAAGAAAGCAAUAAUGUGCUUUACAAAAUAUCUCGAUUGCAUGAAGAUUAUGCUGUUGCUAUGUGUACUUCAUUGAUGCAGCGCGCACUAAAACUAAAACAAGCUAACGAAGUCAUAUUUGUAGAUGCUUCCGGUAACUGUGACGUUUAUGACCAUAAAGUAUAUUUCUUUGUGACACAGACCGCGGCAGGAGGAUUACCUGUUGGUUGUAUACUAAGCAGUUGCCAAAAAUCAGAUUUAUUUGAUGUAGCUGUCAAAGACUUAAUAGACAUUAUGCCCCAAAAGAUUCAACCAACGGUAAUUUUAACAGAUAAUGAUCUAGGCGAACGUAAUAUUUUACAAACUAACUGGCCUCAUGCGAUAUUAUUGCUGUGUACAUUCCAUGUUCUUAAGGCGAUAUGGCGCUGGAUACUUACGACUAAAAAUGGCGUUCGGCGAGACGAUGCUUAAAAGUAUUAUAAACUUUUCAAGAACAUUUUGAAUGCAAAAACACUUAAUGAACUUGAGACAAGCAAAGAAAAGUUCUUUAAAGAUUGUAACCAUGAGGGUUUUAUAAAAGUAUGUAAGCGAAAUAUAUCUUAAUCAAGAACAAAUAUGGUGUAUCUUUUACAGAUUAAACUUACCACUGAGAGGUAGUGAUACUAAUAACUACACCGAGGUAAUGUUUCGUUUGUUAAAGGAUAUACCUCUGGAAAGAGCAAAAGCGUUUAAUCUAGUACAACUGGUGGACUACAUCGUAGUUGGUUUCGAAAACUAGUAUAAGCAACGUAUUCUAGACCUAAUUUAUGAAAGAACAUCUAAAGUUGUUGCUACUAAAUACUUACCUAUAUCUUCGAAUAGUAAAAUGAAAAUUACGUGCAUCAACAUGGAAACGCUCGAAUUUUCUGUCCCAAGUGAAAGUUCAGAAAAUACAAUUUAUUUAGUUGAUAUGCAAGCUUGUAAAUGCACCUGUCCAGUAGGAUUUAAUAUGAAACACUGUAAACACCAGGGGUUAGUAUUACAGCAGUAUAAUUUUCUUAUAGCAUUUAACACCUUGUCCAAUGCCAUGAAAUACAUAUUAUAUGAAGUAGCUUCGGGAAAAACUGCCAACAAAAAUAUAUUUAAAUCACUGUUAAUCACCACCGAUGAUACAGAAGAAGAAAAUAUACAGGCAGAGCCAGAAAAUAAUACACGAAUCAUGCAAGCUGUGGAAAUUGGUAAUGUGAAUACUCCAAAACACCUUAACAAUGGACCAAUUAGUAUUGAAGACAUAAAAAAGAGGUAUCUAGAACAUUGUGAUACAAUGCUAAAAUAUUUAGAAGAAGAUCCAGAGAACUUUGUUCCUGCUAUUAAUACAUAUUUGGAAAAUAUAAAAAAAUACGUAGGUUCAAAAACUACUUUACUUAAUGGUUUAUUCACUGCUUUUAAGUGGAAAGGUAUCCCAGCUAAAAACUUGUCCAAAAACAAAUGUCGUCGUCGUGGUAAACGGAUUACAGUUCAGCCGACUUCAGUAGCACGUCGUCGAUGUGGAACUAAAAAAAAAGUUGCUGUUGGUAGAACCUCAGGAGGCAUAAAGAAAAGAAAUACCAAGUCUCCACAUUGUCUGAAAACAUGUGUUGCAAAAAAUAUAGCUUUGGGAAUCAAUAAAUCAAAAAAAUA